UACGUAGGGGGCAAGCGUUGUCCGGAAUCAUUGGGCGUAAAGAGCGUGUAGGCGGCUCGGUAAGUCCGCUGUGAAAGUCCAGGGCUCAACCCUGGAAUGCCGGUGGAAACUGUCGAGCUAGAGUCCGGAAGAGGCGAGUGGAAUUCCUGGUGUAGCGGUGGAAUGCGUAGAGAUCCGGAGGAACACCAGUGGCGAAGGCGGCUCACUGGCCCGAUACUGACGCUGAGGCACGAAAGCGUGGGGAGCAAACAGG
rnacentral:rRNA from 1 species